rnacentral:rRNA from 1 species
AGCGAACGCUGGCGGCAGGCUUAACACAUGCAAGUCGAACGGGUAUCUUCGGAUACUAGUGGCAGACGGGUGAGUAACACGUGGGAACGUACCUUUCGGUUCGGAAUAAUACAGGGAAACUUGUACUAAUACCGGAUAAGCCCUUCGGGGAAAGAUUUAUCGCCGAUAGAUCGGCCCGCGUCUGAUUAGCUAGUUGGUGA